CGUACUGGAUAGUCUGGUUUAACAGCUUUUGAAGAUUUCUGUCUUUUUUGUUGACAGGAUUCCAUUGUUUCCUCCUAAAAGCACCUAAGACAAUGUUUGACUUUUCUCUACUCAGCUCCCUGUGAGGAGAAAAAAGGAGAAGUCAGUUCACAGGACAGCCUGAAUUGGUGAUUCCUGAAAGGCGGAGGUCGGGGGGGCAGAGAGGUGGGAUUGAAAGGGCCAGUGGGCGGUCACUGCUCCUGGGCUGAUGGGCAUUGACACCCAGCCAUAACCAGUCACCUGGGAUGCCAGUGAGGAGAUGUCAUCUUUUUCUCUCUCAGCUUUCUGCUCAGCCUGAGGGAAAAGAGGAACGUGGACUCCAGAUUCCUGAACUCCAGCACCAUGUGCUCCAGAACUCUUGACCUCAGUGCUGCAGACACCUAGGGCAUUGGAAACAGGAAUUCUGAUGGAGCCAGCUGCAUGUUGUCAGCUGCCCUGUGGAGAGGCCCACACAGCGAGGAACUGAGGGCAGACUCCAGCCAACAGCCAGGGAGGAACUGAGGCCCUCAGUCCAACAGCCACAGGAACUGCAUCCUACCAGCAAUCACACGAGUGAGCUCAGAAGCAGAUUCUUCCCAGCUGAGCCUUGAGCUGACGGCAGCCCACACCAAGGCCUUGAUUUCAGUCUCAGAGACCCUGAGCCAUAGGACCAGCUAAAGGACCCCUGGAUCCUGACCCACAGAAACUGCGAGACUGUACAUGGUAUUAUUUUAAGGCACAAGUUUUCGAGUAACAGGUUACACAGCAAUGGAUAACUAAUACAAUAACAAGGUUGCUCUCCCUUCCCCUUCCUUCCAGGCAGUGUAGUAGUCAGGAUGGGCUGGGCUGGGCUGUGGUAACAAAUAAUUACAAUACCUCAGGGUCUUAGAAAAGGAGAGUUUAUAUCAUACAGCACAUGUCCCAUGAGAGAGGGAGGGAGGGGGCCUGUCACACGUGGUGGAGGCUCCACCACCUUGUAGCUGCACCACAUGAAAUCCACAGUGUCCUCAGAGCCUCUCAGUCCCACCUCAGAGUAUUUUUAUUGAAAG
rnacentral:lncRNA from 1 species